CAGUAGCCACGGUAAUACGGAGGGGGCUAGCGUUGUUCGGAAUUACUGGGCGUAAAGCGCACGUAGGCGGCUAUUCAAGUCAGAGGUGAAAGCCCGGGGCUCAACCCCGGAAUUGCCUUUGAAACUAGAUAGCUUGAACACGGGAGAGGUGAGUGGAAUUCCGAGUGUAGAGGUGAAAUUCGUAGAUAUUCGGAAGAACACCAGUGGCGAAGGCGGCUCACUGGACCGUUGUUGACGCUGAGGUGCGAAAGCGUGGGGAGCAAACAGGAUUAGAUACCAGGGUAGUCCCUGUCUCUUAUAC
rnacentral:rRNA from 1 species